AAGCCGGCUCCGCUAUUAAAAGCAAACUUCUUUAUUUAUUUACAGACUAGAGUCAAGGAGCUUCACCCGUUACACACUUGAAUCCUUUUUCUAGGCACCAUAAAGGAUCCCAACAAUUAUACAUUACAAGUCAUUACCUUUAUUUAUAGACCAGACACAAGGCGCUCUGCCCAUACAACAUACUUGGAACAUUUUUAAAGGCACACUAAAAGACCAUCCACAACAAAACAUUGAUUCGAUCAUUACACUGGAGGUCGCCUUUUCAUCGGAAAUUGAGAUUUACCUUACCAAGAGGUAAUAUCAACGUUACACAAAACAUGACAUAUAACCAUGUCUAACCUUAUAUCUAGAUUAGAUUACACAGUACACACCAGCUUAAUUAUCUUACAGUAGUAUUCAAUUGGAAUACAAACGCCAAUACACUUUACCAUCGAAAGUAUGAUCAGAAUCCAGAACAUUUCCAUGAGGUACCUCUAUAAGAUUAAUCUGCAAAACAAGAGAACCUCCUUCCUGCACAUGACGAUCUUUAUACAGUUCAUCUAAUUGAACCAUAGUUCUAAGGCCAUGAAUAGGACGAUUUUUAUCAAUAGGCCUAUAACCAUUAGUAUAACCAGAUGCAACAACAUCAAAAGAUGCUUCAGCAUCCAUAUUAUUGGCGGCUGCAGGAGGCAGAUCUCCUCUCCAAGCAUCCUCGUUAGCUCUGGGAACAAAUAAGACGGCCCAAGAAACAAUAGGAGCCCAACUUCGACCAAACAAACCAAAAUCCAUCCUAUUCAAGUUCUUCAAAACACCAGGAUCUGCAUAACGCAGAAAAAAGUAGUCUGAUUUAAAACCUAUCAAUUUUUGCUGAUCACACGCCAUAUCUUCCUUGAUUAAUGAAAAAUAAGCGCUCAGAAUCAGAGCACUUGCCUCAGAAAUUAUUUUCGUUGCUCUGUCACUCUUUUUUCUGCUGCCGUCCAAAGACAUUUUCACGUCUAUUUAUGCAAGGGAGGAAUUCGAACACAAACAAAUCACAAAUAAUUAUUAAUUAAUUAUAAUAGGACUCUUAAUUAAUGCAUUCCAGCAUCUCCUUCUGCAACGUGUCUGGCGACGUGGUUUUGUCUUCGUCUGUGCUCCGCCUUUCAUUUCUUGGAUAUCUUCAUCAUAGGUAUUAGAGCCAAGUUAAGGUUAGGUAGAUGAUACAAGUCCUCUUCAAAAGGAUUUUGCUAUCUAGGUAUUAGAGCCUAGUAAUAUAAGGUAUAAUCUCACAUAAAAUUGUGGGUCUAAGUGGAACCUAAAAUUAAAUUUUUAUGAGACUGUAUCUUACAUUACACGCUUACUUUAAUAAUUGACACGUGUUAAUUAAUGCAUUCCAGCAUCUCCUACUGCAACGUGUCUGGCGACGUGGUUUUGUCUUCGUCUGUGCUCCGCCUUUCAUUUCUUGGAUGAGUUCUGCUAUUUGCCCCGGGUCAAAUCCCGGGUCAAACCCCGAAAGUAAUAAAACGAUGCCGUUUCAAUUUCAUUUUUUUUUUGUUUCAUCCCAGCUAAAACGGCGUCGUUUUAACUGGGUUAAGGCUGCGAAAGCAUCAGAUUUGUCACCAAGAAAUCAUUUGCAACAUUAAUUAACAAGGGUAAACAAAAACGAACUCCAGUUUAAAACAACAGAGACAUACAUUGUUCUUUUUUCAAAAUGAAGCAAUAAGAGUGCAGGCACCAGAAAAAAAGAAAAAAGAAAAAAAAGAGAAAUCCAAUUUCGUAAGAUUACAACAUACAAGCUCUUAGUUGCCUGCAUUUUCGUUCUUUCAUCUUCUACCAAUUAAUAACUACACAAUUGCCUUUGCUACUUUCAAAAUAAAAAUUAUAGCAAUAUUAAAUAAAAAAAAAACGAAGAAACAAGAGGGUAAAAAUAUACAAGCUGGAGCAAACAAAAAAUUUCUUGGGUGGCCGUGUUGUCUAAUGCGUCAUCAUAGGAAAGAAAAUGGCUGAGGAGGAGGUCGACGUGAGAGUAGAGGAGGGUUUGUGAAGAAGAUGAAGAAAGAGGUUUGUGAAUGAGAGAGAUGAGGGUUUUUUGCAGAGGGGUAAAACGAAGAGGAAGACAAAGCAGUUGGGUUUUCCUUGGUUUUAUCUUUUCUAAGCCAAACGGUGUCGUUUUAUAGAGAAUCAAAACAUAAAAAAGGCAUCGACAAAACGACGUCGUUUAGGGCAAUUUCGGGGUCUGACCCGGGGUUUGACUCGGGGCAAGUAGCAUUUUCCUUCUUGGAUAUCUUCAUCAUAGGUAUUAGAGCCAAGUUAACGUUAGGUAGAUGAUACAAGUCCUCUUCAAAAUAGCUCUGUGUCGCAAGUGGUUCCGGUACGUAGAUCCACGUCUUCUUUUGCAGCGUGGUUUGGCCUUUUCAGUUCUUCUCAUUCUUUGAUUUCUUCGAAUAGUUAUCUGCAUCGUGUUUACAGGUUAGGUAAGACUAAGGAUUGGGUUCGCACAGUUCUAAUAUUUUGAUUGGACCAUCCUGCAUCUAUCUCUUAUUUAGUUUAGCAUGACUUAUUUAACAUCAUAAAUAUUUAUUUAAUUUUAUAAUUUUUUAAAUAUUAAAUAAAUUAUUUUUUUAUUAGUAAAAUUUUAAAUUUUGAGUUUUUGAAAAUAGAUUGAAAAAUAUUUUUAAAAUAUUAAAAUGUUUAAAAUAUUAUUUAUUUAUUUAAUAAUUUUAUUUCAUUCAUUUUAUAACAUAAAUUUAAAAAAUUACCUAUUAAAAAAAUUUAUAAUUUCUUAAUAAAAACUCUUAUUGAUAGUCAAAUACCUUAAAGUUUUAGUAAAAGUUUGCUUGUAAAAGAUUUAUUAACAAAAGUUAUGCCUAAAUAAGUUUUAUUUGAAAAAUUAUAUCAAGGCUUGAUUUGGUACCAAAAGAAAAUUAUCAUACACUUAUAUUUUUAUAUUAUCAUUUAAAACUGAAGAGAAGAGUAAAGAAAGAUCAAACCAGAGUGACGAAAGGAAAAGUGAAGAAAGGUUAACAUAAAAUGAAAGAAAAGCCUCGGGCAUUAUACUAUGAUUUGGGAGAAUGAUGAGUUAUUUAGUUUUGGUGGGUGUAAAAGGAAAACGAAGCUUAAUAAUAUGAGCUUAAAACUCAAUUAAAAUGAGUUUAAUGAAGGGUAGUUUUAGCAUUUUAAAGUGCGAUCAUAGUUAAUUUUAAUUUUUGUAAUUUAUUGAAUAAACUAUUUGCAAUGAAUUAAGAAAAGUAAUCAAUAAUUAUAACAAUAAAAGUAAUGAUUACUGAAACGACCCACCUCGAACUUCAAGAGCAAAUCUAUCUAAUUUCUUUUAACGUGAUUAGUAAAACUUAUUAAUAAGGAUUUUACUAAAAUUUUCCAACAUGCAAAUCUGCAAAACAAACACUUUCAAAAUAAUUCAAUACACAACAAACUUCAUUGAUCAACCUUCUCAACCAUGAUAUUGAUUAUCACCUAAACACUUAUAAAGUAUCAAAAGAUUAUGUUAUAGCUAAUGUCAACAUAUAUUAAACAUUCAUAAUCAUCAAAUCAUAAUACAAUUAUACAAUCCAAAAUGAGAUGAUCUAAAUGCCCUAAUAAUAUCAUUUAUAUCUUUUAGCACCAUCACAUGGUCAAAAUUCAAAAAUACUACAGUCGUUGGGUCGAUUAAUAUAUCCACAACCUUCUGUGGGAGAAAAGUAUAGUAAAAUGGAAUGAAUAUAAAACUCAAUGAGUGAAUAAUAACUUUUGAAAAUAAUAUAUUUUAAAAUAAUUAUAUCUUUUCAAUAUACUAUUUUCAUCAAACUAUAAGUAAGAACAUAGAUGAAUUAUUCGAACUUUAAAUCAAACAACUGUUGUUUUAAUUUUAAAGUGCGAUCGUAGUAAAUUUUUAUUUUUUUUAAUUUAUUGAAUAAACUAUGUAUAAUCAAUUAAGAAAAAUAAUCAAUAACUAUAACAAUGAAAGUAUUGAUUACUGCAACGACCCACCUCAAACUUCGAGGGCAAGUCUAUCUAAUUUCUUCUAACGUGAUUAGUAAAACUUAUUAAUGAGGAUUUUGCUAAAAGUUCGUCGACAUAGUCCCCCCCUAUAUUUAUAAAAUUUCUAACAUGCAAAUCUAAACGCUCCCAAAAUAAUUCAAUACACAACUAACUUCAUUGAUCAACCUCCUCAACCAUAAUACUGAAUAUCACCUAAACACUUCUAAAUUAUCAAAAGAUUAUAUUAGAGCUAAUGUCAACAUACAUUAAACAUUCAUAAUCAUCAAAUCAUAAUACAAUUAUACAAUCCAAAAUGAGAUGAUCUAAAUGCACUAAUAAUAUCAUUUGUAUCUCCUAGCACCAUCACGUGGCCAAAAAAAAAAAAAACAAAUACUACAAUCACUGGGUCGAUUGGUGUACCGCAACCUUCUUUAGGGGGAAAGUAUAAAAAAAUGAAAUGAGUAAUUUGACAAGAGGAUUUUAAUUUCUUGUGAAAUCUGUGUUACUUUAAAUCAUUUUAUAGAAAUUAGGGAUGGCAAUGGGGAGUGGAGGGGAGAGGACCAAUCUCCCCGUAUCCAUCCCCGAUAUUUUACGUAUGUCUCCGUCUCCUCCUCAUCCCCAUCAUAAUUGCUUGAGAGAAUCUCAUUUUACUCCCCGAAUAAUAACACAGGGAUCCUCGAGGAUCCCCGAUUCCCGAAUAACUAAUACAUAUUUUUAUUUUUUAUUUUUAGUUAAUUAGAUUAAAAUAAAAAAUUCAAACAAAAGUAAAGUUCGAAAUAUAUUUUACAUUAACAUUGAUUCAUUAUAAAAGUCACAUGCAAAAUACAAAUUAUCAAAAUAAUUAUCUUUAUCAAUCUUCAUAAUCCUACAAUAAAAAGAAAAAGAAUUUACUUUUAUAUCGACAAUAAAAUAAAUGAAAUAAAUGUAGAUACUUAAUUAAUAUUUUUAAUAAAAAAAUUAAAAUUAAAACAAAAUUUUUGGGCUAAUAGAAUCUACUCGACCUUUUUAAUGUCCUAAAUAAAAAUUUACGACUUUAAUUAGUUAAUUAGGCCUAAAAGUUGAAUAAUAUAAAUAUUUUAAUAUUUUUUACUUUUACCAAUAUUUAUAAUUUUAUAAUAUAAUUCAAAUUUUAUUAUUUAUUUACUAGUAAUUUUAAAAAAAAUAAAAAUAAAAUUAAAAAUUAAAAUGGGGAAAUGGGGAGGGGAUGGGGAUUCCACCCCAUCCCCGCCCCUUCCCCGAAUAAGAAACUGGGUAAAAAAAUUUCUCCGUCCCUUCCCCGAAUAAGAAAUUGGGCAUAGAAUUAUCUACGUACCCUCCCCAAAUGGAAAAAAUCCCCGAGGGUACCCGUCCCCGUGGGGAUUUUUGCCAUCCCUAAAAUUCCAUUAGCUUUGUGUUGCAACUCUGCAACGGAAUGUCAAAUCGACAAUGAAAUUUCUUUGUCCAUUUUUCACGUGCACAACCAUAAAAAAGAAAAAAAAACAAUAUCACAAUUGUAUGUAUACGCUGGUGGGUCCAUUUUCAAAUUUGACAAGAGGAUUUUAAUUUCUUGUGGAAUUUGUGUUAUUUCAAAUCAUUUUAUAGAAAUUAAGGAUGGCAAUGGGGAGGGGAGGUGAGGGGACCAAUAUCCCCUUACCCAUCCUCGAUAUUUUACGUAUGUCCCCGUCCCGUCCCGUCCCCAUCCCCGUCAUAAUUGCUUGAGAGAAUCUCCAUCUCCUCCCCGAAUAAUAACAGGGGAUCCCCGAGAGUUCCCGAUUCUCUAAUAACUAAUAUAUAUAUAUAUAUAUAUAUAUAUAUAUAUAUAAUUUUUUAUUUUGAGUUAAUUAUAUUAAAAUAAAAAAUUCAAACAAAAGUAAAGUUCGAAAUAUAUUUUACAUUAGCAUUGAUCCAUUAUAAAAGUCACAUGCAAAAUACAAAUUAUCAAAAUAAUUAUCUUUGUCAAUCUUCAUAAUCCUACAAUAAAAAGAAAAAGAAUUUACUUGUAUAUCGACAAUAAAAUAAAUGAAAUAAAUGUAGAUACUUAAUUAAUAUUUUUAAUAAAACAAAAUUUUUGGACUAAUAGAAUCUACCUGACCUUUUUAAUGUCUUAAAUAAAAAUUUAAGACUUUAAUUAGUUAAUUAGGCCUAAAAGUUUAAUAAUAUAACUAUUUUAAUAUUUGUUACUUUUACCAAUAUUUAUAAUUUUAAAAUAUAAUUCAAAUUUUAUUAUUUAUUUACUAGUAAUUUUAAAAAAUAAAAAUAAAAUUAAAAAUUAAAAUGGGGAAAUGGGGAGGGGAUGGGCAUUCCACCUCAUCCCUGCCCCUUCCCCGAAUAAGAAACUAGGCAAAACAUUUUUUCCGUCCCUUCCCCGAAUAAGAAAUUGGGUAUAGAAUUAUCCCCGUACCCUCUCCGAAUGGGAAAAAUCCCCGAGGGUACCCGUCCCCGAAUGAGAAAUUGGGUGUAGAAUUUAUUCUACUUUUUCUCAUAAUUUCAUGAAGAGAAAGAAGUAUCAUAUUUGCUAUUGUUUUGUAGAGAAAAUUUUUUGAUUAAAAUAAUAUAUUUAUACUUUUAUUUAAAGAAUCUUUUAAUUUUUUUCCACUCUUUCAUUUACAAUAUAUAAGAGUAAAUAAAUAUUUAAAGAAUUAAAUUUAGAAGAAUAUUUUAGUGAUCCUCUUAGAUCUACUUAGUGUCUGUUUGGUAUAAUUUAUGUAAUGCUCAUAAGUAUUUAUUUAAUCUCAUAAAUUCUUAUCAUAAUUUUUGUUACUGUUUUUUUUAGAGAUUUUACAGUUUAAAUAAGUUAUUUUAUUUCUACUAAUAAAAUCUCAAAUUAGGAGUAGAGAUUGAAAUUUUUUUAAAUAUUAAAAUAUCUAAAAUAUUCUCUUCUUAUUUAAUAUUUUUUUCAUAACAUAACUUUAAAAACUUGUCUAUUAAAAUAAUUUCAUAAAUUUUUAAUAAAUUUUUUUAUUAACAAUCAACAACUAAAAUUUUUUAAGUAAAAAAAUUAUUUAUAAAAAUUUUAUUAUCAAAAACUCUAUUUACCAUACAUGUUCUCUUCGUGUAAAGCCUUUUGCAGCAAGAUGCGCCUUGUAUCUCUCCACAUUGCCUUUCGAAUCCCUCUUGGUUAUAAAUAUCCAUUUGUAACCAAUAGGUUUCGCAACUUCUAGUGAUGGGACAAAAUCUAUACUCAAUAUGCACCAUGAGCUUAAUAUUCCUUAUUAGUGCCAAUUAAAUCAUGAGGGGGGUUUCUACUCCUCAUGAAUCAUAUUUUAAUCAAUAUGGUGCUAAGGGCUUAUUGUGCUAAAUAGAAAUAACAUUGCACUGGGGAGCCGGUUAUACCAGUGCAGUAUCUAGACAAGAUUAUUACUAUCUAUCGACGAAAAGUCAAAACAUCCACAUAAAUCAAAGGGGAAGAGAAAGUAAAUUUACCAAAUAAAGCCCAAGGAACAUGUUGAGACUUCACAUUCAAUCCAAACUUGAAAGAAAAUUAACUACUCAUAAUCGAACUAGGGGUAAAAAUGAAAAUUUAUUAAAAUACGUAGAAAAUACAAGAUGAAGAAUGAAUUAUAGAAAAUGGAGCUAAAAAAUGAAUUCAGGGGUGUCAAAUUAGAGGGGAGCCCCCUAUUUAUAGAUAUAACGAGUAAAUCAUGACCGUUAGAUUAAAAUGAUUUGGACACUUAGGAUUGCGCCGCGUGACAAAUUCUGAUUGGAUAGAACACAUCAUCAGGGCUGUCAUUUCGUGUAUAUGCAUGUAUCGUACGCACGUUUUUCGAUCCACUAACAUAUUCCAGGUCACCGGUCAACUCCACAUAAUCCUUUUAGUCCAAUAAGAUCGUGACACAUCAUCAGUCAACGCCAACUCAUCAGUCAACGCCACAUAAGUAGUCAAGCCAUAUCAUACGUCCAAUCGAAUGCUGCCACAUCAUUGAUUAUUGCCAUAUCAUCGGUCCGUAUAUGUGAACAAUGUCGUGAAUAGUACCGUAAACAAUAUCGUAAAUGUGAACAGUGCCAUACAUGUGAACAUUGCCGUGCAUGUGAAUUGUGUUAUUUACCCUUUUAUACUCCUAAGGUUUUCGACUGUCAUGAGUUCAAAAUGUUAUCCAUUUUGCUGUCUGAUUUCUCGUUCCUUGUGAAAUGACCAUGAUGCUCCCUAAAAUAUAUAAAAUACUUAAUUAUAAUACAACACACAUAAUUAAAUCACAAGGGACUUAAAUACAUAAAAAUAGGGAUGUUAACAAGACUUGGAGUGUAAAAUGGCAAUUUUCUCCUUUAUAAAUAUACAAUUUCUAACACUCAACACACCCCCCAAUCAGCUUAUUGCUAGUUCCUAGCAAAUAAAGCGAAGACAAAAUUCAAACCCAAAAUGAUUUUUUUAAAACAAUCGUGUUUAUUCAAUCAGACUAAUGAUAACAAUCAAAUAAAAAUAUAAGCAUAAUCUCCAGCCUAAAGAAAUAUCAUCCCCACAUCAACUGUCCAUAUAAAUUAGUCCAGUAGACUUUAUCAUGGCUACAAUAAUCAAGCCACUUUCAAGAAUGACAUGUCAAACAAAAAAUCUCACCGGUAGUAGUGAUACUUUCACAAAGAAAUUAAACCUAAUAAAAAUAGUCAAUGCAAUGAAUGGUAAAUUGAAAGAAAAUAAUAAAGAAGUAAUACCACACACUCUCACCAAGAUGAAAGAAAUAUACCCACAGCUUAAAACUAACACGAUCUUAAGUCAAACAAAAUGCCAGUCAAACCAAUGUUCCGCACUUGUUUAAUCACCUACAAUUAUGCAUAUGAUUUAAGCACACAAUUUAUUCUAAAUCAAACAAAACUUAUUAAAAGUAAACUAAAAUGUAUGUUCAUUCAAAACAUUACUAAAAUGCAAUAAAAACAUGUCAUUUACUCUCUAAGUAAUCAUGAUUUAAGUCUAAAAGUGCUAUGAUAACUCACAUUUUAUAGAGUUAUCAGUUGGCCAACUCAACCAACUAUUGUGGAAUUUAAAAUUAGCUUACUGGCAAGAAGUAACUGGCAAACAAAUGAGUGGGGCCACAGUAAAAAAUGAGGAGGGAAAUAUUUUUCACUGAUAAUAAGAGACAUUAAUUUAGAUGACAUAUUGGUUGUAGAUCUAAAUAAGAUGUUAAUAAGUUAAUAGGUAAUUAACUAGAAGGUAGCUCACAAAUGAGGGGAACAUAAAGGAAUCACGAUAAUGGUGGCUAGUACAAGCCAAAGAAAAAGUUUAAAGGGAAUUGCUACAACUGAGGAAAGACAAACCAUAUGGUGAAUAUUACUGGUCUAUGAAAAAGUUUAAAGAGAGUAAUGCAGCCACUUCCAAUCAAAAGAAGGAUAAUGACGAGGAAUGGGAAGCCGAAGCAUCAAUCACUAUUGAGGAAAAGAAACGGGCCUCACAGUCACAAUACCUAGCCAACUUAACUACGAGAGUAAUUGGAUCGUUGAUCUAGGAUGUUUAUAUCACAUGAUUAGUGAUAGAAAGAAGCUACAAGACAUGACUAAAUACAAAGAAGGUCGUGUGGUAGUAAUAGUAAAUAACUUGUAACUGCCAAUAGCUCACGUUGGCACUAUAGUUCUGACAUUUCAAUAUAGUUCAUUAUAAAAUAUCACUUUAAGACGUGCAUUAUGUUCUAAAUAUGAAGAAAACCCUACUUUCAAUAUCAUAACUAACAUCAUUAAGCAACUAUGUUUUGUUCAGUCUUCAAGAUGUUAAAGUGUAUCAAGAUGUAAAAAUCUCAGGGACACUUACAAUAGCAAAACAAAGGUUUGAGUUAAUUCAUUUAUUAUCAGUAGAGUUUGCUUAUAUAGACAAGACUCGAAAGAACGAGACAAUAGAUUUAUUACAUGCUCGGUUGGGACAUGUUAGCUACAACAAGUUGAAAGUGAUUAUGAACAAGUCAAUGCUCAGAGGUCUGCCUAAACUUAAUGUGCGAAUAAACAAGGUGUUUAUAGAGUCUCAAUAUGGUAAAGCUCACCAACUCUCAUAUGAGGAGUCGAAGUUUAGAGUAAAAGAGCCAUUGAAGUUGGUAAACUCUAACGAGUUUGGUCCUAUUAAUCAACCUUCUAUUAGUGGCAUACGAUGCAUGGUCACAUUUAUCAAUGACUUCUCUGGGUAUGUCUGAUUCUUCUUACGAAAAGAAAUUUGCUACUUUUUUAAUAUUUAAAGUAUUCAGAUAGCCCAAGCAAAAUUAAAAAGCAGGUUUGUUGUCUACAAAUAGACAAUGUAGAAGAGUAUACAUUACAUGAGUUCUCUUAGUACAUAUCUUCGAGAUUAUAAGAUACGCCAUCAGUUCACUUGUGCCAAUAUACCAUAACAGAAUAGCGUAGCAGAACAAAAAAAUCGAUAUCUAGCGAAGAUCUAUUGAAGUAUGAUACAUCCAAAGAAUGUACUAGAGAGGUUUUGGGUCGAAGCUAUGAAGAUAGCAACUCAUGUGAUUAAUAGAGUUUCUCAACUGAAAUUGGGGGUCAUAUCACUUUACGAGAAGCUAUGAAAUGUGACACCUACAGUCAUGAACUUUUGUGUAUUUGGUUGUGUAUGCUAUGUCUUUGUGCACACAUGAAGGUAAAGAUUUACAAUAUAGAACAAUGUAUCAACAAUUGGUAGGUAGUUUAAUCUACCUAAUGCUGAAUCAACCGAAUAUUUCAUAUGUCAUAGGUGUCAUGAGUUGGUAAAUGCAAAAUCCAAAGAAGCUUCACUUGGAAGUAGUUCUGCGAAUACUAAGAUAUGUGAAGAGUACAAACAACUAUGGUUCAUUGUGCAAGAAAGUUGAAAUUACAAGCUGACUAGCUAUUGUGACGCUGACUACGCCGGAGAUCAUGAUACAAAAAGAUUAACUACUAGGUAUGUUUUCAGAAUUAGGUCUGGAGUAGUUUUUUAGUGUAGUAAGAGACAACCAACUGUAUCACUAUCAACCACAGAGGCAGAGUAUAAAACAAUAGUGAUGACAGCUAAAAAAAACACUUGGUUGAUGUAGUUGAUCAAGGAUCUACACCAACUAGUAGAUUAUGUAUGCAAUACCAUUGUAUUACGAUAGUCAAUCGAUAAUCAACUUGGUAGAAAAUCUAGUUUUCCAUGCAAGAACUAAGCAUGUAGAGGUCCAUUAUCACUUCAUCAGGGAAAAGGUCUUACAAGAUAAAGUUGAGAUGCAGUACGUCAAGACAAACAAUUAACUAACGGAUUUUUUUUUUAUAAAAAAGUCUUUGUACCAUGAAGUUUAAAAAGUUUCGUUAGCAGCUUAAUAUGGAUCGAAGGAUGAAACUUGGUUUUGAGGGGGAGUGUUAAAAGUGCAACACCAAUUUUAUGAUCCAAUUAAAUAACAUUUGUCCAAACCCAAGUUCAAAGCUCAAUCCAUAGAAGACUUAAGAAUUGUGUAGAGAACAUGGGACAUUUCUAAUCUAAAAAUAUUUAAUGAUGAUGAAAAUAUCUUAUUUUAGAAAUCUCUUGAACAGUGGUAUUUAUAAAAUGUGAUUGUUAAAUUUUUAUAAUUUAAUGUUUUGUGUGGUUUGUAUUAGUUUUAGGAUACUAUAAAUACUGUUAAACUCUUUGUUGUAGGCAUCAAGAGAGGAGUGAAGAAUUAGUAGGAAGAAAAAGUAUUGUAGUAUUUUUCUUAUAAAAUAUCAAUAAAAUCCUUUAAUUUAGUAAAAUUCUUCUAUUUCUUAAAUAUUUUCAGUCUUAAGCAGCUUCGUCCUUCUUUCUCAACAAAAGCAUUCCAUUUAGUAUAUGAAAAGAAAGUUGUGAGCUUGUGAAGAGAGAAUAAUUAGAAUAUCUUUUGCAAUUGUUAUUUUCCCAAUUUUAAGUAACAGAGUUGCUUUCUCCUAGUAUAAGAGAGAUUGUAAUUGUUCUAUCCUUGUAUUCAAAGAAAAUUGUUAUAAUCCUCAUUUGAAUAGUGAAUUCUUUCUACUUUUGUUGUGGAUUUUUAACCCGGUUUAUUUGGAAUUUUUUCCACUUAAAAUUUUUGUGUCCCAUAUAUCUUCAUUUGUUCUUAAUAUCACUUUGGUUACGGUCUGAUACGGUCCUUAAUUUCCUAAUAGAAAACAACUGAAACCAUCCAAUAACGAGAGUGAUCUCUGAAAGCUCCAUUGCAGAACAUGGAUAACCGCUGCUUAGGCCAUCUGUAUUAACUUUUACCCAGCCAUGCACUAUCGGGCAAAUUUUAUCAAAAUAUUGAAAAUGAGAGGUAUAACCAGCUUGUAUUAGAUGAAAGGAGGAUGGGGUGUUUUCAUAUCGUAGCUCUGUCACGGCAUCGAUGUGAAGAAGAUGAGUUGGUCAUGUCUAAUUAACAAAAAAAAAAAAAAAAUCCUUUCUGCUAAUCCCAAUUUCAAAGCUUUCUUGUGUCGGACUUUAAUUCUAACUUUGUGAUAUCACACUUUCAAUGGUUAUUUUACCUUUAUAUUCACUAUUGACUGAUAGGGGUGAAAUGAAUAAUUAAAACUCUAUUAUGGAUAUAAAUAACAAAAAAAAAAUUUAUGUGUCGCGGAACUGGUACUCAUAUGAAAAUAACAUUUGACAAUAUCGAACCAUUGGAGCACUAAAUAAAUUAUAGCAUUAUAUAAAAGGGGAUUUGAAUACAUGCUCAUGUUAUGCCCUACGGACUUUCUUUUGUAUUUGUUGGCAAAAAUUUGCAGAUCGUAGAUAUUUGCCCCUAAGGUAACAAAACUGCAAAAGCAUUUCGUGGGUAACAAGUACUCGGGCUUUUAUCUAGAAUAUCUUUACUCGUCAAUACCAAUAAAUCACUUAGAUUUUAUGGGCUACGGAUGGAAAUUGUUAAAUUCAUUAUUUGUAGAGUUUGCAUUUUAUGGCAAGUCUAGUUAAAUUAGAAUUUUAUUUAUUGUAUAUCUUGUAAUAGUGAUUAAUUUAUUAAUUUCCUAAUUUAAUGAGAUUUCAAUUUAUUAAGAAUAUUUAUUUCCUAAUUUAAUUAGAUGGCUAACUUAACAAGUCAAUUAAUGAUGUGAUUCUAUAAUUGGCGCAUGAGCUCUAUUUAGAGUAAUAAGUCGGUUUAAACAAGAAGUUUAUUAAAUGCUUUAAAUAUUUCUAGGGAGACAAGCAAUGUAAGAAAAUUAGAUUUAAUCCUAUUCAGAUUCAUAGGAAUUAUAAAAGAAAAUAAACUCUUAUUUGGAAAGAAUCAAAAUCUUUUAAGAGUUACUACUUUUGUGAAACUCCAGUGCCUAUAUAAAGAGAGGUAUUUCACAAUUGAAGGUGCAUAACACUGAGCACAAAGUAGGGAAGCAAAAUUCGGCCUUCUCCCUAAAGAAUCCUAAUUUGGCAAAUAAUAUUGUGUUGAUUUAUUUACUUAUCUUCUUUUCAUAUUUGUGUAGAGUCUAUGUGAAUCUUGGAUCACUAGACAUUAAAAAAUUGAAGAAUUGCUAUUGAUCACUUUGCGAAGUGCAUUAAGUAUCGUGGAUCAAGAGGGGUAACAAUUAUUUAAGAGAAGCAAAUUCAGUCUGUAUAGUGAUAAACUGUAAGUGAGAGUUUUAAGUUUGAUAAAUCUAUGGUUGUAACAUUUCAACUUAGUGAAUUGCUUUUCAUCUGAGCGUGACCUCGUGGAUGUAGAAUUAAUUAAUCCGAAUCAUGUAAAAAUCUAUGUACCAUUUAAUUUCUGUAAUUUAUUGUGUUUUUGAAAAAUUAAUAUUUUGAUGCGGAUAAACAAUAAGCGUAAACAUUAACUAUAAACAAUAAGCAUAAACAAUAAUGAUGAAUAGUGGUAAACAAUAUUUCCGAAAGUUAAUUAAGUUGUUAAUUUUAAAUUUUUAAUUACCUACAUCUAAAUUGCCUACAUCUAGUGCAAUUUUGAAAGGUAUUAAAUUGGCAGAGGACUUGGGGUUUCUUCCGCUACUGAUAGAGUCCGAUUCAGUUAAUGUCAUUAGUCUCAUCUCAGGAAAAAUUAACAGCGAAUUAGAGAUUGAUUGGCUAAUAUCUGAUAUUAAAAGUUUUAUUUUUAAGAAAAGUGCGUUUGCUAUAAGACACAUUCCCAAAUCCGGUAAUUCAGCAGCUCACAAAGCUGCAAAAAUGGCUCUUGAUCAUGCUGAGUUGCGCACAUGGUUACAGGAUGCGCCUCCUGACAUUAUACCUCUCUUGUAGUGUUAUGGUGUAAUCAAUGAAAAUUUUAUUGUAAAAAAAAAAUCCUUUCAGAAAUUAAUAUAUACUCUUUUUUUUUUUGAUACAUUGGAGCCGAACGGAGAAUAAAGAUCCCAUAUAUAUCAUUACAUAACCAAUAACCAAGACCCUCGGGGGAAGAAAUUAAUAUAUACUCUUUUAAUGUGGAAAAUCCCUUCGGAAUUAGUUCGAUAAAUACAAUAUUCAUCCAGUUACCGCAGGCUAAUAAUGCUCAUCCUGGAUAACUCAUGUCGCUUUUUACAUAUGCUGUAAUCUAAUUGGUGUGAUUAUCUUUGUAGCCCUACCUUGUCACUUGGCCAGAAUCGAGGUUAUAUAUAUGGCCAUGCAAUUAUACAUGAAAAAAGAAUAUCUUUCCAGUAGUUCAUUUGCCCUUUCAUAUAGAGCAUACUAAGGAUAUAUAUAUCGGAAACCUGAGAAAACUAAUGAGAUAUUUGAAGGUUAAAGGGGAAGCCGGCUCCGUUAUUAAAAGCAAACUUCAUUAUUUAUUUAUAGACUAGAGUCAAGGAGCUUCACCCGUUACACACUUGAAUCCUUUUUCUAGGCACCAUAAAGGAUCCCAACAAUUAUACAUUACAAGUCAUUGCCUUUAUUUAUAGACCAGACACAAGGCGCUCUGCCCAUACAACAUACUUGGAACAUUUUUAAAGGCACACUAAAAGACCAUCCACAACAAAACAUUGAUUCGAUCAUUACACUGGAGGUCGCCUUUUCAUCGGAAAUUGAGAUUUACCUUACCAAGAGGUAAUAUCAACGUUACACAAAACAUGAAAUAUAACCAUGUCUAACCUUAUAUCUAGAUUAGAUUACACAGUACACACCAGCUUAAUUAUCUUACAGUAGUAUUCAAUUGGAAUACAAACGCCAAUACACUUUACCAUCGAAAGUAUGAUCAGAAUCCAGAACAUUUCCAUGAGGUACCUCUAUAAGAUUAAUCUGCAAAACAAGAGAACCUCCUUCCUGCACAUGACGAUCUUUAUACAGUUCAUCUAAUUGAACCAUAGUUCUAAGGCCAUGAAUAGGACGCUUUUUAUCAAUAGGCCUAUAACCAUUAGUAUAACCAGAUGCAACAACAUCAAAAGAUGCUUCAGCAUCAAUAUUAUUGGCGGCUGCAGGAGGCAGAUCUCCUCUCCAAGCAUCCUCGUUAGCUCUGGGAACAAAUAGGACGGCCCAAGAAACAAUAGGAGCCCAACUUCGACCAAACAAACCAAAAUCCAUCCUAUUCAAGUUCUUCAAAACACCAGGAUCUGCAUAACGCAGAAAAAAGUAGUCUGAUUUAAAACCUAUCAAUUUUCGCUGAUCACACGCCAUAUCUUAUUAAUGAAAAAUAAGCGCUCAGAAUCAGAUCACUUGCCUCAGAAAUUAUUUUCGUUGCUCUGUCACUCUUUUUUCUGCUGCCGUCCAAAGACAUUUUCACGUCUAUUUAUGCAAGG
rnacentral:lncRNA from 1 species